rnacentral:rRNA from 1 species
UACGUAGGGUGCAAGCGUUAAUCGGAAUUACUGGGCGUAAAGCGUGCGCAGGCGGUUUUGUAAGUCUGUCGUGAAAUCCCCGGGCUCAACCUGGGAAUGGCGAUGAAGACUGCAAGGCUAGAAUCUGGCAGAGGGGGGUAGAAUUCCACGUGUAGCAGUGAAAUGCGUAGAUAUGUGGAGGAACACCGAUGGCGAAGGCAGCCCCCUGGGUCAAGACUGACGCUCAUGCACGAA